GACAGACUUAAAAUUUUUAAUUUCUUCAUUAAAAUUUAUCUUAAUUCAACAUCGAGGUCGCAAUCUUUUUUAUCAAUAUGAACUCUUUAAAAAUAUUACGCUGUUAUCCCUAAGGUAAUUUAAUUUAUUUUCACUAAUAAUGGAUAUACAAAUCAUUUAUAUAUGUAAUAUAAAUCAAAAAUUUUUUUAAAUUUUUUUAUAGCCCCAAUAAAAUAACUUAAUUUAAAUAAAAUUUUAUUAAAUUUACUUAAACUAUAAAUUAUAAAAUUCUAUAGGGUCUUCUCGUCUUUUAAUUUAAUGUAAGAAUUUUUACUUACAAUAAAAUUUAAUAAUUUAAAUUGAGACAGAUUUUAUUUCAUCAAUUCUUUCAUUCUAGACUUAAAUAAUAAGACAAAUGAUUAUGCUACCUUUGUACAGUCAAUAUACUGCAGCUAUUUAAAAAUUUCAUUGAGCAGAACUAAUUUUAAAUUAAUUUCAAAAAACCAUGUUUUUGAUAAAC
rnacentral:rRNA from 1 species